GUGGGGAAUAUUGGACAAUGGGCGCAAGCCUGAUCCAGCCAUGCCGCGUGAGUGAUGAAGGCCUUCGGGUUGUAAAGCUCUUUAGCCGAUGAUUAUAAUGACUGUAGUCGGAAAAUAAGCCCCGGCUAACUUCGUGCCAGCAGCCGCGGUAAUACGAAGGGGGCGAGCGUUAUUCGGAAUCACUGGGCGUAAAGCGUGCGUAGGCGGCUUUGCAAGUUGGGAGUGAAAGCCCAGGGCUCAACCCUGGAAUUGCUCUCAAAACUGCAAGGCUCGAAUUCGGGAGAGGAUAGCGGAAUUGUCAGUGUAGCAGUGAAAUGCGUAGAUAUUGACAAGAACACCAGUGGCGUAAGCGGCUAUCUGGACCGAUAUUGACGCUGAGGCACGAAAGCGUGGGGAUCAAACAGGAUUAGAUACCCGGGUAGUCC
rnacentral:rRNA from 1 species